rnacentral:misc_RNA from 1 species
GAACUGCGAUAAGUAAUGUGAAUUGCAGAAUUCAGUGAAUCAUCGAGUCUUUGAACGCACAUUGCGCCCCCUGGCAUUCCGGGGGGCAUGCCUGUCCGAGCGUCAUUGCUGCCCUUCAAGCCCGGCUUGUGUGUUGGGUCGUCGUCCCCUCCGGGGGACGGGCCCGAAAGGCAGCGGCGGCACCGCGUCCGGUCCUCGAGCGUAUGGGGCUUUGUCACCCGCUCGAUAAGGACCGGCCGGGCGCCAGCCGGCGUCUCCAACCUUUUUUUCUCAGGUUGACCUCGUAUCAGGUAGGGAUACCCGCUGAACUUAAGC